UACGUAGGGACCAAGCGUUGUCCGGAAUCAUUGGGCGUAAAGCGCGCGUAGGCGGCCCGGCAAGUCCGUUGUAAAAGUCGAAGGCUCAACCUUCGAAAGCCGAUGGAUACUGCCGGGCUAGAGUACGGAAGAGGCGAGUAGAAUUCCUGGUGUAGCGGUGGAAUGCGCAGAUAUCAGGAGGAAUACCCAUAGCGAAGGCAGCUCGCUGGGACGUUACUGACGCUGAGGCGCGAAAGCGUGGGGAGCGAACAGG
rnacentral:rRNA from 1 species